rnacentral:rRNA from 1 species
GACGAACGCUGGCGGCGUGCUUAACACAUGCAAGUCGAACGGAAAGGCCCUGCUUGCAGGGUACUCGAGUGGCGAACGGGUGAGUAACACGUGGGUGCUCUGCCCUGCACUUCGGGAUAAGCCUGGGAAACUGGGUCUAAUACCGGAUAGGAGCCAUUUUUAGUGUGAUGGUUGGAAAGUUUUUUCGGUGUAGGAUGAGCUCGCGGCCUAUCAGCUUGUUGGUGGGGUAAUGGCCUACCAAGGCGGCGACGGGUAGCCGGCCUGAGAGGGUGGACGGCCACAUUGGGACUGAGAUACGGCCCAGACUCCUACGGGAGGCAGCAGUGGGGAAUAUUGCACAAGGGGCGCAAGCCUGAUGCAGCGACGCCGCGUGGGGGAUGACGGCCUUCGGGUUGUAAACUCCUUUCGCUAGGGACGAAGCUUUUUGUGACGGUACCUAGAGAAGAAGCACCGGCUAACUACGUG